AGCGAGGGCGAGCCCCGAGAAAGCUUGGCAUGAAAGAUCACUGACGGAACGGCGAGUUUGUCUAAAAGGUAGAAAUUCCAGGAACGGGAAAAAGAAGUUGGCUGCCGACAAAUUGCAACAAAGCCUCAUGUGGCUCCUCACUCGGGCUAGACGAGAGAGUCGCAAUUCCGUCCGCGACAGCGCUCGAUCGGCUGCCAAGGGCAUGAACAGAAAAUACGAGAAAAACCGACGACACAGUUCCAGCGCCGCGACUGGACGCUAGGCUUCCCUGAAAUACCACGAAUGCUCUGAUGAGACAUGCUCGCUGGUGACUGGAGGAACCCGAGACGCGGCAGUGAAGGAAAGAAGUUGACGUUCACGUGUGAAUCUCGAAUUGCCAUUCACAGAUGCGUUCGGAGGCUUCCGCACAUUUGGUACUUCUGGAUAUCUCGCGGUUCAUACCCAUCCUUAGCGGCUGUGGAAGCGCAUCGAUGGAAUUCGUCUGCAUGUCUGGGAGGGCACUUGAGACGGAGUCUCGCGUUCAGAAGGAUAUCGACAGACUGCUUCGAAGGGUCAGGUAACAAGACAUGAUACCUAGAUUUUCGGCCAAGGAAAAUGAAACGCCUGGCCGUGAUAUUGGAGGGAGUUGCAUGAGGAAAGACCAGGUGAUGUACGAGGGUGUAAAGCGUAAAACUGACCAACUGCCUCAGGUGCAUAUUCGAGACUUCGAACGUGAAUCUCUGAUUUCGGUCUGGUCUUAGGGUUUAGAAACGUAGAAACGGUGGCGUGGACUGAGACAUUUUCCAAGUCCCUAAACCAAGGGUGAAAGACGUGUAAUUUUCCGCGGUUCCUCGGCUUCGAGGUGGUCACACGGUGUUGAGAACCGCUUCGUUUUCUUCGAUGAAAACACGGGCAAACCAUCGUCGUUCCUCAUUGUUACAAAGUGGAAUGAAGAGUGAUAUUUGCAUUCGAACAGAUGGAGCUUCUUUUCCCGCGCGAGGCGGACUAGAGUUUCCGGAAAGAGGCGAAGGUUCCAGGGUUCCUUGUACGAGCUCUCCGGAAAACUAGCUUGUGAUCGAAGCCAAACAUCAAGUGUAUGAGUUGAAGACAUUUCCGCUUUUUCACGAUGUUACCUAGAUGUUGGCUGCUACAGAAUUUCAGGCAAACGGUAUGUUACCCCUGUCCGCGAGAAAAUAUGGCUGUUUACCUUGAAAUGAUCAACUCGUUGGCUGCCCUCCGGGGUUCUCCAUGAAUUCUACAGCUCCGCACGAUGGCAACAGCACACCUUCGGCGUGUUGAACUUUGUGUCUCCGAUGCACGUUGUUCUUCUGCUAUUUUCAACUAUGCCGCCAGACACCUAUUAAUGUUCAUGU
rnacentral:lncRNA from 1 species